GACGAACGCUGGCGGCGUGCCUAAUACAUGCAAGUAGAACGCAGUUGCGAACGGGGGAGUAACGCGUAGGUAACUGCCUGGUAGCGGGGGAUAACUAUUGGAAACGAUAGCUACUACCGCAUACUACCAGUUGGACCUGCGUUGUAUUAGCUAGUUGGUGGGGGAACGGCCCAACAAGGCAACGAUACAUAGCCGACCUGAGAGGGUGAUCGGCCAAACCGGGAAUGGGACACGGGCCAGACUCCUAAGGGAGGCAGCAGGAGGGAAUCUUCGGAAAUGGAGGGAAGGCUGAACGAGCAACGCCGCGGGAGUGAAGAAGGGUUUCGGAUCGGAAAGCUCUGUUGUAAGAGAAGCGGUAUCUUACCAGAAAGGGACGGCUAACUACGUGCCAGCAGCCGCGGUAAUUC
rnacentral:rRNA from 1 species